GCUCCGGUAGUUCAACGGAUAGAAUAGAAGUUUCCUCAACUUUUGAUAGCAGUUCGAUUCUGCUCCGGAGUACCA
rnacentral:tRNA from 1 species